GCGCAGUCCUGCACUGCGGCACUCACGCACUCCACUUUCCACCUCAGCCUGCUAGGCGAGUCACCUCGGCUCUGCGCUCUCGGCCGCCUCCAAGGCCUCCAAGUCACCUUUAAUCAUGAAAACCCAGGAGCCGGGAAGCUAGGACGCGGGCUUGAUCCUCCCACACCUGCGAGCUAUGGAUCUUCUGGAGUACACGAAAGGAGAUAUCGCUGGGUCCUCAGACUGUUGACGCGUCCUUCCAAGGAACUGAUAAGCCCAGGCCCCUAGGACGGGAUGCUAGGACUCCAGUGUGGGGCCUUGCUGUGAACCCCUUCCCAAGUGUUUGCUUCCCUGAUGGGCCUUUGCCAAAAGGCCCUCUUGACACCGAAAAGGAUGACGACUCAGGUUCUGCGGCAGCCAAUGCCCCUCCCCCAACUCUCUGCACUCACUGGUGGGGGCCACGGUCAAGGAAGCAAGUAUCCCGAAUUGACAGCUUGGUGCAGAGGGGACAUGCGAGGUGUCUCUAUCCUGAGAGGAAGCAGCUGGACCCUGGCGCUCCCAAGGAGCGUACUCCCCAGUGUGGAAAAACAAGAGAACGUGACUGUCUCAUGGUGAGCGCCUGCUGGGGCCUUAUCCAGGCUAUGGCGGUCUCCGUGGGCGUCCAGGGAGAGCAAGGAUGCUGACAUGGAACGUGCCUCCAGAGCUCGUUGCCAUCGGCUCGCCAGCCAGGAACACCUUUUUACUUUGGCCGCCUGGACUCCGAGGGAAUUCUGCCGGGGCUCCUGGAGGAUGCCCAGCCAGGAUUGUUCAGGGCUGUCAUUGUCUCAGUCUCUUUGCCUCAUUGUCUUAGUCACGUUGCUUCAUUGUUAUUGUCUCCGUCUGUCCAAUCGCGUACUCACAGCCUUAGCAAAAUAAGCAAUUUUAUCUUGUCUUUUACAUACAAAAAAAAAAAAUGGAGAUUUUCUUACUUCAAGCCUUUCAGGCAUCGAGAGACCUAACCCCACCCAGAUUCCUUUGUAUUUAUGGUUACUAAAACGUCAUGUCUUAAAUCUGUAUCUUUGGACAACAGAAAAAAUAGUUUUAAAUAGCAAUGUGAUCAAACUUAACAUGGAUUUUUAAAAAAAAAAAAGUAGGGACAAAUUGGAACCGA
rnacentral:lncRNA from 1 species